AUGUCAGUCGGCCAGAGGGCCACCGAGGAAGCGGGCGCCGGCUUGCCGAAGCCGUCGUCCAGCGGCGCGAGGUAUGACCGCCUCUUGUCUGGCCUAGCAGCCGGCGCGCUCGCGGACAUAGAGCCUGACAAGCUCAAGGGCGACAUCCAGCGAUGGGCCAAGGCGGUCGGGGCGCUGGUGCGCCAGCUGAGCUUCGGCGCCUGGCCUGAGAAGAGCGACGGCUCGUCGGAGCACCGGAACGCGGGCGGCGAAAGAUGA
rnacentral:rRNA from 1 species